rnacentral:rRNA from 2 species
GCAGUCGAACGAACUCUGGUAUUGAUUGGUGCUUGCAUCAUGAUUUACAUUUGAGUGAGUGGCGAACUGGUGAGUAACACGUGGGAAACCUGCCCAGAAGCGGGGGAUAACACCUGGAAACAGAUGCUAAUACCGCAUAACAACUUGGACCGCAUGGUCCGAGUUUGAAAGAUGGCUUCGGCUAUCACUUUUGGAUGGUCCCGCGGCGUAUUAGCUAGAUGGUGAGGUAACGGCUCACCAUGGCAAUGAUACGUAGCCGACCUGAGAGGGUAAUCGGCCACAUUGGGACUGAGACACGGCCCAAACUCCUACGGGAGGCAGCAGUAGGGAAUCUUCCACAAUGGACGAAAGUCUGAUGGAGCAACGCCGCGUGAGUGAAGAAGGGUUUCGGCUCGUAAAACUCUGUUGUUAAAGAAGAACAUAUCUGAGAGUAACUGUUCAGGUAUUGACGGUAUUUAACCAGAAAGCCACGGCUAACUACGUGCCAGCAGCCGCGGUAAUACGUAGGUGGCAAGCGUUGUCCGGAUUUAUUGGGCGUAAAGCGAGCGCAGGCGGUUUUUUAAGUCUGAUGUGAAAGCCUUCGGCUCAACCGAAGAAGUGCAUCGGAAACUGGGAAACUUGAGUGCAGAAGAGGACAGUGGAACUCCAUGUGUAGCGGUGAAAUGCGUAGAUAUAUGGAAGAACACCAGUGGCGAAGGCGGCUGUCUGGUCUGUAACUGACGCUGAGGCUCGAAAGUAUGGGUAGCAAACAGGAUUAGAUACCCUGGUAGUCCAUACCGUAAACGAUGAAUGCUAAGUGUUGGAGGGUUUCCGCCCUUCAGUGCUGCAGCUAACGCAUUAAGCAUUCCGCCUGGGGAGUACGGCCGCAAGGCUGAAACUCAAAGGAAUUGACGGGGGCCCGCACAAGCGGUGGAGCAUGUGGUUUAAUUCGAAGCUACGCGAAGAACCUUACCAGGUCUUGACAUACUAUGCAAAUCUAAGAGAUUAGACGUUCCCUUCGGGGACAUGGAUACAGGUGGUGCAUGGUUGUCGUCAGCUCGUGUCGUGAGAUGUUGGGUUAAGUCCCGCAACGAGCGCAACCCUUAUUAUCAGUUGCCAGCAUUAAGUUGGGCACUCUGGUGAGACUGCCGGUGACAAACCGGAGGAAGGUGGGGAUGACGUCAAAUCAUCAUGCCCCUUAUGACCUGGGCUACACACGUGCUACAAUGGAUGGUACAACGAGUUGCGAACUCGCGAGAGUAAGCUAAUCUCUUAAAGCCAUUCUCAGUUCGGAUUGUAGGCUGCAACUCGCCUACAUGAAGUCGGAAUCGCUAGUAAUCGCGGAUCAGCAUGCCGCGGUGAAUACGUUCCCGGGCCUUGUACACACCGCCCGUCACACCAUGAGAGUUUGUAACACCCAAAGUCGGUGGGGU